GACGAACGCUGGCGGCGUGCUUAACACAUGCAAGUCGAACGGAAAGGCCCUGCUUUUGUGGGGUGCUCGAGUGGCGAACGGGUGAGUAACACGUGAGUAACCUGCCCUUGACUUUGGGAUAACUUCAGGAAACUGGGGCUAAUACCGGAUAGGAGCUCCUGCUGCAUGGUGGGGGUUGGAACGUUUCGGCGGUUGGGGAUGGACUCGCGGCUUAUCAGCUUGUUGGUGGGGUAGUGGCUUACCAAGGCUUUGACGGGUAGCCGGCCUGAGAGGGUGACCGGCCACAUUGGGACUGAGAUACGGACCAGACUCCUACGGGAGGCAGCAGUGGGGAAUAUUGCACAAUGGGCGGAAGCCUGAGGCAGCAACGCCGCGUGCGGGAUGACGGCCUUCGGGUUGUAAACCGCUUUCGCCUGUGACGAAGCGUGAGUGACGGUAAUGGGUAAAGAAGCACCGGCUAACUACGUG
rnacentral:rRNA from 1 species